rnacentral:rRNA from 1 species
UUGUCACACUCCUACGGGAGGCAGCAGUGGGGAAUAUUGCACAAUGGGGGAAACCCUGAUGCAGCCAUGCCGCGUGUGUGAAGAAGGCCUUCGGGUUGUAAAGCACUUUCAGUAGGGAGGAAGGUAGUGUAGUUAACACCUGCAUUAUUUGACGUUACCUACAGAAGAAGCACCGGCUAACUCCGUGCCAGCAGCCGCGGUAAUACGGAGGGUGCGAGCGUUAAUCGGAAUUACUGGGCGUAAAGCGCAUGCAGGCGGCCUGUUAAGUCAGAUGUGAAAGCCCCGGGGCUUAACCUCGGAAUUGCAUUUGAAACUGGCAGGCUAGAGUCUUGUAGAGGGGGUAGAAUUUCAGGUGUAGCGGUGAAAUGCGUAGAGAUCUGAAGGAAUACCAGUGGCGAAGGCGGCCCCCUGGACAAAGACUGACGCUCAGAUGCGAAAGCGUGGGGAGCAAACAGGAUUAGAUACCCUGGUAG